GAUGAACGCUGGCGGCGUGCCUAAUACAUGCAAGUCGAGCGAACAGACGAGGAGCUUGCUCCUCUGACGUUAGCGGCGGACGGGUGAGUAACACGUGGAUAACCUACCUAUAAGACUGGGAUAACUUCGGGAAACCGGAGCUAAUACCGGAUAAUAUAUUGAACCGCAUGGUUCAAUAGUGAAAGACGGUUUUGCUGUCACUUAUAGAUGGAUCCGCGCCGCAUUAGCUAGUUGGUAAGGUAACGGCUUACCAAGGCAACGAUGCGUAGCCGACCUGAGAGGGUGAUCGGCCACACUGGAACUGAGACACGGUCCAGACUCCUACGGGGGGCAGCAGUAGGGAAUCUUCCGCAAUGGGCGAAAGCCUGACGGAGCAACGCCGCGUGAGUGAUGAAGGUCUUCGGAUCGUAAAACUCUGUUAUUAGGGAAGAACAAAUGUGUAAGUAACUAUGCACGUCUUGACGGUACCUAAUCAGAAAGCCACGGCUAACUACCUG
rnacentral:rRNA from 1 species